UACGUAGGUGGCAAGCGUUGUCCGGAUUUACUGGGCGUAAAGCGUGCGUAGGUGGUGCGUUAAGUCUGUCGUGAAAGCCCCGGGCUCAACCUGGGAAUGGCGAUGGAUACUGGCGCGCUAGAGUGCGGUAGAGGAGAGUGGAAUUCCCGGUGUAGCAGUGAAAUGCGUAGAGAUCGGGAGGAACAUCAGUUGCGAAGGCGGCUCUCUGGACCAGCACUGACACUGAGGCACGAAAAGCGUGGGGAGCAAACAGG
rnacentral:rRNA from 1 species